GGGGUCAUGGUCUAGUGGUUAGGACAUGACGUUGUGGCCGUCAUAACCCGCGUUCGAUUCGCGGUGAUCCCA
rfam:Coccidioides immitis RMSCC 3703 supercont1.26 genomic scaffold, whole genome shotgun sequence.